GGCGGCGUGCUUAACACAUGCCAAGUUCGAACGAUGAAACCUUAGCUUGCUAAGGUGGAUUAGUGGCGCACGGGUGAGUAAUAUAUAGAUAACGUGCCUCCGAGACUGGGAUAGCCAUUGGAAACGAUGAUUAAUACUAGAUACUCCUUCUAACUAUAAAGUUAGUCGGGAAAGUUUUUCGCUCGGAGAUCGGUCUAUAUCCCAUCAGUUAGUUGGUAGUGUAAGAGACUACCAAGACAAUGACGGGUAGCGGGUUUGAGAGGAUGAUCCGCCACACUGGUACUGAGACACGGACCAGACUCCUACGGGAGGCAGCAGUGAGGAAUAUUGCACAAUGGGGGGAACCCUGAUGCAGCAACGCCGCGUGGAGGAUGACGCAUUUCGGUGUGUAAACUCCUUUUAUAUGUCAAGAAGAUGACGGUAGCAUAUGAAUAAGCACCGGCUAACUCCGUGCCAGCAGCCGCGGUAAUACGGAGGGUGCAAGCGUUAUUCGGAAUCACUGGGCGUAAAGGACACGUAGGCGGGAGGCCAAGUCUGAUGUGAAAUCCUAUGGCUUAACCAUAGAACAGCAUUGGAAACUGGUUACCUAGAGUAUGGGAGGGGGAGAUGGAAUUAGUG
rnacentral:rRNA from 1 species